ACAUUCUCACGACAUAGCAUUGGGAUAUAUAAUAUACUUGCCUGUUUCAUUCAUUGCAUCAUAGUAUACUGGGUUGCUUUGAUAGAGCUUACUCCUUAUGCAUUGACAUAUUGCAUCGUGAGGUUUACUUGUUUAUUAUGUUAAGGCAUAUUAGUAUGCAUUGGACAUAUUAUCUUAUGAUAGCGUAGAUGUAUAUCACCACGACAUCAUGCUUACUUGAGACAUAGUAGUAUAGCAUUUCAUUUAUACUUUCUUUCAGCUGUUCUU
rnacentral:lncRNA from 1 species